rnacentral:rRNA from 1 species
GAUGAACGCUGGCGGCGUGCCUAAUACAUGCAAGUCGAGCGAACGGACGAGAAGCUUGCUUCUCUGAUGUUAGCGGCGGACGGGUGAGUAACACGUGGAUAACCUACCUAUAAGACUGGGAUAACUUCGGGAAACCGGAUCUAAUACCGGAUAAUAUUUUGAACCGCAUGGUUCAAAAGUGAAAGACGGUCUUGCUGUCACUUAUAGAUGGAUCCGCGCUGCAUUAGCUAGUUGGUAAGGUAACGGCUUACCAAGGCAACGAUGCAUAGCCGACCUGAGAGGGUGAUAGGCCACACUGGAACUGAGACACGGUCCAGACUCCUACGGGAGGCAGCAGUAGGGAAUCUUCCGCAAUGGGCGAAAGCCUGACGGAGCAACGCCGCGUGAGUGAUGAAGGUCUUCGGAUCGUAAAACUCUGUUAUUAGGGAAGAACAUAUGUGUAAGUAACUGUGCACAUAUUGACGGUACCUAAUCAGAAAGCCACGGCUAACUACGUG